rnacentral:rRNA from 1 species
UACGGGGGGGGGCAAGCGUUGUUCGGAUUUACUGGGCGUAAAGCGCACGUAGGCGGAUCGAUCAGUCAGGGGGUGAAAUCCCAGAGCUCAACUCUGGAACUGCCUUUGAUACUGUCGAUCUGGAGUAUGGAAGAGGUGAGUGGAAUUCCGAGUGUAGAGGUGAAAUUCGUAGAUAUUAGGAAGAACACCAGUGGCGAAGGCGGCUCACUGGUCCGGUACUGACGCUGAGGUGCGAAAGCGUGGGGAGCAAACAGG